rnacentral:rRNA from 1 species
AUUGAACGCUGGCGGCAGGCUUAACACAUGCAGGUCGAGCGGAGAUGAGGUGCUUGCACCUUAUCUUAGCGGCGGACGGGUGAGUAAUGCUUAGGAAUCUGCCUAUUAGUGGGGGACAACAUUCCGAAAGGAAUGCUAAUACCGCAUACGCCCUACGGGGGAAAGCAGGGGAUCUUCGGACCUUGCGCUAAUAGAUGAGCCUAAGUCGGAUUAGCUAGUUGGUGGGGUAAAGGCCUACCAAGGCGACGAUCUGUAGCGGGUCUGAGAGGAUGAUCCGCCACACUGGGACUGAGACACGGCCCAGACUCCUACGGGAGGCAGCAGUGGGGAAUAUUGGACAAUGGGCGGAAGCCUGAUCCAGCCAUGCCGCGUGUGUGAAGAAGGCCUUUUGGUUGUAAAGCACUUUAAGCGAGGAGGAGGCUCUCCUAGUUAAUACCUAGGAAGAGUGGACGUUACUCGCAGAAUAAGCACCGGCUAACUCUGUGCCAGCCGCCGCAGUAAGAC